rnacentral:misc_RNA from 1 species
UCCUAGCCCCGAUAGAAACGGUUACCCCGCAGCUUACGCUGGAGAGGCCUGGCGCGAGGAGUAUGAGUGGAUAGCGGGAAAUAGC